rnacentral:rRNA from 1 species
ACUGGAGUUUGAUCCUGGCUCAGGAUGAACGCUAGCGGCAGGCCUAAUACAUGCAAGUCGAACGGUGUAGCAAUACAUAGUGGCGCACGGGUGCGUAACACGUAUGCAACCUACCUUAUACUGGGGGAUAGCCUUUGGAAACGGAGAUUAAUACCCCAUAGUACAUUUGAUUGGCAUCAAUUAAAUGUUAAAGAUUUAUCGGUAUAAGCUGGGCAUGCGUCCAAUUAGUUAGUUGGUGAGGUAAUGGCUCACCAAGCUUUGAUUGGUAGGGGAACUGAGAGGUCAAUCCCCACACUGGCACUGAGAUACGGGGCCAGACUCCUACGGGAGCAGCAGUAGGGAAUAUUGGUCAAGUGGGCGAGAGCCUG